GUUUGAUCCUGGCUCAGGAUGAACGCUAGCUACAGGCUUAACACAUGCAAGUCGAGGGGAAACGACAUCGAAAGCUUGCUUUUGGUGGGCGUCGACCGGCGCACGGGUGAGUAACGCGUAUCCAACCUGCCCAUCACUUGGGGAUAACCUUGCGAAAGUAAGACUAAUACCCAAUGAUAUCUCUAGAAGACAUCUGAAAGAGAUUAAAGAUUUAUCGGUGAUGGAUGGGGAUGCGUCUGAUUAGCUUGUUGGCGGGGUAACGGCCCACCAAGGCGACGAUCAGUAGGGGUUCUGAGAGGAAGGUCCCCCACAUUGGAACUGAGACGCGGUCCAAACUCCUACGGGAGGCAGCAGUGAGGAAUAUUGGUCAAUGGACGAGAGUCUGAACCAGCCAAGUAGCGUGCAGGAUGACGGCCCUAUGGGUUGUAAACUGCUUUUAUAAGGGAAUAAAGUGAGUCUCGUGAGACUUUUUGCAUGUACCUUAUGAAUAAGGACCGGCUAAUUCCGUGCCAGCAGCCGCGGUAAUACGGAAGGUCCGGGCGUUAUCCGGAUUUAUUGGGUUUAAAGGGAGCGUAGGCCGGAGAUUAAGCGUGUUGUGAAAUGUAGACGCUCAACGUCUGCACUGCAGCGCGAACUGGUUUCCUUGAGUACGCACAAAGUGGGCGGAAUUCGUGGUGUAGCGGUGAAAUGCUUAGAUAUCACGAAGAACUCCGAUUGCGAAGGCAGCUCACUGGAGCGCAACUGACGCUGAAGCUCGAAAGUGCGGGUAUCGAACAGGAUUAGAUACCCUGGUAGUCCGCACGGUAAACGAUGGAUGCCCGCUGUUGGCCUGAAUAGGUCAGCGGCCAAGCGAAAGCAUUAAGCAUCCCACCUGGGGAGUACGCCGGCAA
rnacentral:rRNA from 1 species